UUCCUACGGGACGCAGCAGUGAGGGAUAUUGGUCAAUGGGGGAAACCCUGAACCAGCAACGCCGCGUGAGGGAAGACGGUUUUCGGAUUGUAAACCUCUGUCCUCUGUGAAGAUAAUGACGGUAGCAGAGGAGGAAGCUCCGGCUAACUACGUGCCAGCAGCCGCGGUAAUACGUAGGGAGCGAGCGUUGUCCGGAUUUACUGGGUGUAAAGGGCGUGCAGCCGGGCUGACAAGUCAGAUGUGACAUCCCGCGGCUCAACCGCAGAACUGCAUUUGAAACUGUCAGUCUGGAGUCCCGGAGAGGG
rnacentral:rRNA from 1 species